rfam:Triticum aestivum genome assembly, contig: Triticum_aestivum_CS42_TGACv1_scaffold_645222_T_4BL-0.068836_4BS-0.044557
AAAGUACUCCCUCCGUCCCAAAAUUCUUGUCUUAGAUUUGUCUAGAUACGGAUGUAUCAAGUCACAUUUUAGUAUUAGAUACAUCCGUAUCUAGACAAAUCUAAGACAAGAAAUUUGGGAUAGAGGGAGUAGUUG